UUGCAUUCAAGUGGAAACAAAACUUAAAGAAAACUGACCCCUUGUGCAUCACGCCAGCUCCAAGAAAAGGGUUGAAUCAUCAUAUCAACUACAAUGUUGUCCAAAUUAUGCUGCAGCCAUGACACACCUCCUUGCUUCCAAAUAAAAAAAAAACGCUGCACACUAUAAACUAAAUAUUCCCUAGGACGUUCUAGCAUCAAAACCCCAUGGUGUGUGUGUGCUGCUUGCAAUCAAAAGCAAAGAAAUGGAUGAAAAUUUAUAAAAUAGCUAGCAGUGUGAUUCAUCUCCCAAGCCUAUGGUGAAAGCAAAGAAAACAAAAGGAUGUGGCGGCUGUUGGAUGUUCUAGGCCCUUUGCACCCAAAAUAAAAAUAUCCAAAAGCUAAAUCGUGACAGCACCAACUUUCCAAGACAUCACUGUGCAGCUGCUCCAUUUAAAAUAAAUCAUUGCAGCCAUUAAUAGCAAAGUGGGAAAGCACCGCUUCAACUAAAGAAAGGAGAAUUAAAUCUCCGUUUUCAGCUUCAGCGUAUGCAACUUAUAACCUUGACACCUCAAGCUUCCGUGACAUCCAGCCACUUUAACAACAAAUCAUUGCUUGCAAUAUAAAACGGAAAAUGAAAGAUGAUGCUAGCUCCCAGGAUGUGACACCUCCACUCUUAAAUUGCUCUAAAUGAAAACUUCAAUGCAAAGUUAAACAUCAAUUCAAAACAGCGCAUAAUUCAAAGUUCUCCAUUCCACCGAUUUCAAAACAAUAAAAAAAAAAAGAAGACAAGUAUGCUCUCUCAUUAUCCAUGAAAAAUGUUAAAAGAAAAGCCAAUUUCUAUGUAGUGGUUGGUUCCUUCCAUCAGCC
rnacentral:lncRNA from 1 species